UACGAAGGGGGCGAGCGUUGUUCGGAUUUACUGGGCGUAAAGGGCGCGUAGGCGGCGGGUCAAGUCGAGUGUGAAAGCCCCGGGCUCAACCUGGGAAUUGCGCUCGAGACUGGUCUGCUUGAGUUCGGGAGAGGAGAGUGGAAUUCCCAGUGUAGAGGUGAAAUUCGUAGAUAUUGGGAAGAACACCGGUGGCGAAGGCGGGUCUCUGGGCCGAUACUGACGCUGAGGAGCGAAAGCGUGGGGAGCGAACAGG
rnacentral:rRNA from 1 species